AUACGGAGGGUGCAAGCGUUAAUCGGAAUUACUGGGCGUAAAGCGUACGUAGGCGGUUCGUUAAGUUAGAUGUGAAAGCCCCGGGCUUGACCUGGGAACUGCAUUUAAAACUGGCGAACUAGAGUUGAGUAGAGGGGAGUGGAAUUUCAGGUGUAGCGGUGAAAUGCGUAGAGAUCUGAAGGAACACCAGUGGCGAAGGCGACUCCCUGGACUCGAACUGACGCUGAGGUACGAAAGCGUGGGUAGCAAACGGGAUUAGAAACCCUAGUAGUCC
rnacentral:rRNA from 1 species